GGGAUUUGGGCAAGUUUUAGGAACGUACUCAAAACAAAAAUAAAUUAUUCUGUUAAAAUUUUAGUGGGCUCUGUUGGUUUCUCAUUCAUUACUUUUCUUUUUAGUUUAGGCUUUAUUUUGAGUAAUUUCCUUUUGUCAUGCAUUUUUGGUGCGUUCGGAUUUUAUCUAUAUAUUAUCUUGGGUAAUAUUUUCGUUUGCGUGGAAUAUUAAAAUGCUACUUAAACUGUAUUUUAAGUUUAAGGACAAAUCAAAAAGUAACCCGUAAAAUGGUUUCUGAUUAUUUGCAGUUGAUAUAAUGACUGAAAGUAUCCAGAAAAAAUCUUGGGAUGAUCCACUUCCAGUACCCACUAGUCUCCUUCCUUGGUCAUCAUUUAUAGUCUUCUUAUGUGCAGUCAUUUGUUUCAGCAACAGUAUUGAGGGGGAAUUCGUCUUCGAUGAUUCUGAGGCAGUUAUUAAUAAUUUUGAUUUGAAGCCUGAUACUCCUCUUUCAAGCAUAUUUCAGAAUGAUUUUUGGGGUACAAAACUUACUCACAACACAAGUCAUAAAUCAUAUCGCCCUUUAACCGUAUUAACAUUUAGAUUGAAUCAUUUUAUCACUGGACUUAACCCAUGGAGCUUUCAUUUUGUAAAUAUUUUGCUGCAUGGUAGUGUAAGUGCUCUAUUUCAUAAGGUCAUAUCUUGUAUGUUGAAUUCUGCUUUAGAUGAUGAAUCACCAAAAACUGCCUUUUUAAGUGCCUUACUUUUCUCUGUGCACCCUGUUCACACUGAAAGUGUAUCAGCUGUUGUUGGAAGAGCUGAUUUGUUAUGCGGAAUAUUUUUUCUGCUGUCCUUUCUUUCAUUUAUUCAUGCAUCAAAAUGUUUCUCAUUUCAUUGGGGACCAAAAAUGUCCCUUGUAUGGGUUGGUUUUAGUGUCAUACUUGCGGGUUUGGCUAUGCUAUGUAAGGAACAAGGAAUAACUAUUAUCGGAGUUUGUUGUAUUUAUGACAUUAUCAUAUUUUAUAAAUGGGAUAUUCGUUGUACUGGUAGCAACAUCACACAUAGGAACAAAAAUGUGCCAACUUCACCAGGGAGUGAUUCUAAGCAAUGCAUAUCAUUUUUCCUAUUGAGGCAAAGUGUACUUUGCUUAGGAGGUAUUUUUUUGUUGUCAGUAAGAUGGUAUAUCAUGGGGGCAUCAACUCCAGUUUUUCAACAAGUUGAUAAUCCAGCUUCUUUUGAAGAUAGAAUUUUAGUAAGGAUUGUCAACUACCAUUACAUUUAUUCCAUAAACCUGUGGCUCUUGUUCCAUCCUUAUUGGUUGUGCUUUGAUUGGUCAAUGGGCUGCAUACCUUUAAUUAAUUCAUUCAUAGAUAAACGUAUAGUUGUGGUUGUUAUAUUUUGGAUUUUCUGUGCCCAUCUUUUAUAUAGUGUAUUCACUCAUGUUGAUCUUAGAAUCAGGAGGUUAUUAUGUCUGUCAUUGGCAUUCAUUUUGGUACCUUUUCUACCUGCUUCUAAUUUAUUUUUCCGAGUUGGUUUUGUUGUUGCAGAAAGGGUGUUAUAUCUUCCUAGCAUGGGAUUUUGUCUUCUUGUUGUGAUAGGUUUAAAGCAGCUCAUGAUUUUCUGCGGGCAGAACUAUCAAAUGUGUAUUCAAUGCAGUGUAUUCAUUCUGCUGACUGCAUUUGGAGUACGAUGCAUUCAUCGUAGUCUUGAUUGGAGGAAUGAAGAAACAUUAUUCAAAUCUGGCUUGAGCGUUUGCCCUUUGAAUGCUAAGGUCCAUUACAACAUAGCUAAAAAUGCUGCUGAUAAAGGUGAUAAAGAAACUGCCAUUAUAGGAUACAAAGAAGCAAUCAGAUUAAAUCCUCUUUAUGAUCAAGCAAUGAACAAUCUUGCAAACAUAUUGAAGGAUCAAGGAGAAUUGAUUGAAGCUGAAGAGUUGUUAAUUUCUGCUAUAAAAAUAAGGCCUGAUUUUGCUGCUGCAUGGAUGAAUCUUGGUAUUGUUCAAUCAAGUUUAAAAAAGAUGAAUAAUGCAAAAAAGAGUUACCUGAUGGCUUUACAGUUUCGAAAAAGAUAUCCAGAUUGUUACUACAACUUAGGAAAUCUAGGGCCUUAUCAAAAGCUGAAAUGGUUGCUUAUGAAGCUUUACAAUAUUUGCCAACCGAAGCAUCAUUGUAUUUCAACUUAGCUAACACUCUUGGAAAAGCUGGAAAGUACACAGAGUCUGAAAAGUAUUUUUUAAAAGCCUUGCAAUUAAAUGAGAACAAUCCGACAUAUCAUAUAAAUUUAGGUGUACUUUACCAUCGUUGGAAAAAAUAUCAUCUUGCAGAGAAGUCUUACAAAAGAGCUCUUGAAAUAAAACCAGACAUGAAAAGUGCCAGUGACAAUCUACGACUACUUCAUAAAACUUUCAACUUUGUGUGAUUGUUUCAUUUGAACUGAAAAUGCCAUUGCGCUCCAGUUUUUUACAUACCAUAUAUGAUCUGAGAAAAAGGGGCUCAAAAAUUUUGCCUAAUAAAAUCAUACUUGUUUUGUAAUAAAAAUACAGGUUUUGACAACAA
rnacentral:misc_RNA from 1 species